GAUGAACGCUAGCUACAGGCUUAACACAUGCAAGUCGAGGGGUAGCACGGAGGAAGCUUGCUUCCUUGGGUGACGACCGGCGCACGGGUGAGUAACGCGUAUCCGACCUACCCAUAACUCGGGCACAGCCGCUCGAAAGAGUGAUUGAUUCCCGAUAUGUCAUUGGAGUAGAUUCAAUGAUGAAAGAUUCAUCGGUUAUGGAUGGGGAUGCGUAAGAUUAGGUAGUAGGCGGGGUAACGGCCCACCUAGCCGACGAUCUUUAGGGGUUCUGAGAGGAAGGUCCCCCCACACUGGUACUGAGACACGGACCAGACUCCUACGGGAGGCAGCAGUGAGGAAUAUUGGUCAAUGGGCGGAAGCCUGAACCAGCCAAGUAGCGUGAAGGAUUACAGCCCUACGGGUUUUAAACUUCUUUUAUAUAGAGUAAUGUGCACUACGUGUAGUGUAUUGCAAGUAUUAUAUGAAUAAGCAAUCGGCUAACUCCGUGCCAGCAGCCGACGG
rnacentral:rRNA from 1 species